UUGUCCGGAUUCAUUGGGCGUAAAGAGCACGCAGGCGGUUUGGCAAGUCUGAUGUGAAAACCCGAAGCUCAACCUCGGGCCUGCAUCCGAAACUGCCCGACUAGAGGUAGGUAGGGGAGAUCGGAAUUCCUGGUGUAGCGGUGAAAUGCGCAGAUAUCAGGAGGAACACCGGUGGCGAAGGCGGGUCUCUGGGCUAUAACUGACGCUCAUGCACGAAAGCGUGGGGAGCAAACAGG
rnacentral:rRNA from 1 species